UCCUUAGUAUACCAGGGUACACUUGAUUAUAAUUUUUUUCAUUAAGAGACUCUUGGUGUUUCGUUUUAGUUAUUAUAUUAGUUUAUAUCAUACACUUUGAUACAACAAACGUUCUCUGCAAAACUUGACAAAAAUACUUUUAAUUUCUGUACUUUUUCUCUUAGCUGACUCUGCAGACCCUUUCUUCAACCAAGAAGCCAUAAAACUACUAGAGUUGCUUUUUUUUUUCUUCACUGUACAUAAUAGAAUUAGUAAAUCAAUAGUCUAGCAUGUCACUUCACAGGAUUAAAAGAUCAUAAUUCGAACAGAGAAAAAUUAAUUGUACUGUUUUAUAUACAUUUAUAUACAUACAUGGAUUUUUUUUCUUUUCUGCAAUCUUCAUUUUUAUAUAAUACAUUGUUUACAAGAGUUGAGACUGUAUGCCAAUUUAAAUCACCAUCUGAUAAUGUUAAUUUAUUUAAUUUAUCAACAACUUCAUCUAUUGUCAGUUUUUCAUUCAACCAAAUCUGUAACCAAAAAAAUAAAUAAAUAAAUAAAUUG